GCCUCCUUAGCUCAGCUGGUAGAGCAACUGACUUGUAAUCAGUAGGUCGUUGGUUCGAUUCCGACAGGGGGCU
rfam:Ohtaekwangia koreensis strain DSM 25262 genome assembly, contig: LY03DRAFT_scaffold00003.3